rnacentral:rRNA from 1 species
UACGGAGGAUGCAAGCGUUAUCCGGAUUUAUUGGGUUUAAAGGGUGCGCAGGUUGUUUGAUAAGUCAGUGGUGAAAGUCUGUCGCUUAACGGUAGGAUUGCCAUUGAUACUGUUGGACUUGAAUAUGGAUGAGGUAGGCGGAAUGUGUAGUGUAGCGGUGAAAUGCAUAGAUAUUACACAGAACACCGAUUGCGAAGGCAGCUUACUAAUCCAUCAUUGACGCUGAGGCACGAAAGCGUGGGGAUCAAAUA